AGGAGAUCCGAGCUUUGGAGAGAUACAUACAAAGACUGGAGUUCCAAAUCAGCAAGGUGGAGGAGCUGUACGAGACUUACUGCAUCCAGUGGCGUCUGUGUCAGGGGGUGGUGAACAUGAAGAAGGCCUUCUCUCUUUCGCCCUCCUCACGGGCUUCCAGGGAGAGCCUGCUGGAACUCAACCAGAACCAUCACCACGGUCACAUGCGGUCGAGCGCAAUUUCAUGAGUUCUCUCACACUGUAUACACAGACCCCCUGGUCAAUUGUCACCUUCGGUUUUCAUGUUUAUAACAUACGGGCAAGUAUGGGUCAUUAACAGACAACUUAAAGCUUGUUCCUCAUCCUCAUUCAUAAGUUCAGUUGCGCCCACUGCUUCUAUGUUUACGACCAGCGGGGUUUGGAGUCACAGGGUACUGAUGGGCGCCUGACCGCCCAUUACUAUUCAUAUUUCAUGGGGUCUAAUAAGUCUAUGUACCAUUGGCAGAUGGAAGGUAUGGGUCACACGUGAGCUAGCAUAACCCAUUUACCACUGAUAUAGUGUGGAGGUAUGGUUCACAUGAUGGACUAUGAAUCUCCCAUUUCUUUUCUCUUGUCAUAGGUUCAUACACAGUAUUUGAAGACAAUCACUGUAAUACUAUACUAUGUAGAAUACAUAUAUUAAAGUGUACUUUAAAGGAUUUUGAACUAGCUUAUAAAUAGGUAAUUAUUAGUUCAUAGCUAGUUAAAAGAUUAGAAACAAAGAAUAAAAUAUUUACAAACUACCUAUAAAUGCUUUAUAAAGUACACCUUAGUUUACUACGGUACCAAGACAUUUUAAAAACCUCUUACAUUAUAAGACUAUGAUUAUUCAGAGAACAGCUAUAGGUCCAGUUAGAUCAUGAAAUAACUGGUGAAAAGGAAGUAUAGUAGCAAUCCACUACUGAUCAUAACCUACACAUACUUUUCAGGAUAUGUGUGUCGUGGAGGGGGAGUUGGAGAUUCUCUUGGGAGAGCUUCACAUCAAAAUUCAAGGAUUGAUCGGCUUUGCUCAACUAUGCCCAGGCGACCAAUACGAGGUUGUGAUCCGUCUGGGGAGGCCGAGGCGGAAUAUACGGAGCAAAAUCAAGACGGAUGACAGGCAGUCGUAGGAUGUGGAGGAGAUGGUCUUCUACCCUCAUAUCCACGAGAACUUUGAU